rnacentral:rRNA from 1 species
CCUACGGGUGGCAGCAGUAGGGAAUUUUGCGCAAUGGGCGAAAGCCUGACGCAGCAACGCCGCGUGAUCGAGACGCCCUUCGGGGUGUAAAGAUCUGUCAGUGGGGACGAAACUUGACGGUACCCACAGAGGAAGCACCGGCUAACUCCGUGCCAGCAGCCGCGGUAAUACGGGGGGUGCAAGCGUUGUCCGGAAUUACUGGGCGUAAAGCGCGCGUAGGCUGUUGUGUAAGUUGGGGGUGAAAUCCCACGGCUCAACCGUGGAACAGCCCUUGAUACUGCGCGACUUGAAUCCGGGAGAGGGUGGCGGAAUUCCAGGUGUAGGAGUGAAAUCCGUAGAUAUCUGGAGGAACAUCAGUGGCGAAGGCGGCCACCUGGACCGGUAUUGACGCUGAGGCGCGAAAGCGUGGGGAGCAAACAGGAUUAGAUACCCGUGUAGUC